AAAAAAAAAGAUUGGAACCAUACAGAGAUUAGCUUGGCCCCUGAACAAGAAUGACAUGCAAAUUCAUGAAGUGUUCCAUUAAAAA
ensembl:snRNA U6 U6 spliceosomal RNA